UACGUAGGGUGCAAGCGUUGUCCGGAAUUAUUGGGCGUAAAGAGCUCGUAGGCGGUUUGUCGCGUCGGCUGUGAAAACCUGGGGCUCAACCCCGGGCCUGCAGUCGAUACGGGCAGACUAGAGUGCGGUAGGGGAGACUGGAAUUCCUGGUGUAGCGGUGAAAUGCGCAGAUAUCAGGAGGAACACCGGUGGCGAAGGCGGGUCUCUGGGCCGUAACUGACGCUGAGGAGCGAAAGCGUGGGGAGCGAACAGG
rnacentral:rRNA from 1 species